GCCUACAGCCACACUGGACUGAACGCGCCCGAUUCCGUCUGAUCUCGGAAGCUAAGCAGUUCUGGGCCCAGCUAGUACCUGGAUGGGAGACUGCCUGGGAAUCCCAGGUGCCAUAGGCU
rnacentral:rRNA from 1 species